GAUGAACGCUGGCGGUAUGCUUAACACAUGCAAGUCGAACGGUCUCUUCGGAGAUAGUGGCGGACGGGUGAGUAACGCGUGAGAAUCUGGCUCUAGGUCUGGGACAACAGUUGGAAACGGCUGCUAAUACCGGAUGUGCCUAAGGGUGAAAGUUUUAAUGCCUAGCGAUGAGCUCGCGUCUGAUUAGCUAGUUGGUGGGGUAAAGGCCUACCAAGGCGACGAUCAGUAACUGGUCUGAGAGGACGAUCAGUCACACUGGAACGGAGACACGGUCCAGACUCCUACGGGAGGCAGCAGUGGGGAAUUUUCCGCAAUGGGCGAAAGCCUGACGGAGCAAUACCGCGUGGGGGAAGAAGGCUCUUGGGUUGUAAACCUCUUUUCUCUAGGAAGAUAAUGACGGUACUAGAGGAAUAAGCAUCGGCUAACUCCGUGCCAGCCGCCGCGGUAAGAC
rnacentral:rRNA from 1 species